UACGUAGGUGACAAGCGUUGUCCGGAUUUACUGGGCGUAAAGAGCGCACAGGCGGUCGUUCAAGUCGAGUGUGAAAGCCCCCGGCUCAACUGGGGAGGGUCAUUCGAUACUGAUCGACUCGAAGGCAGGAGAGGGUAGUGGAAUUCCCGGUGUAGUGGUGAAAUGCGUAGAUAUCGGGAGGAACACCUGUGGCGAAGGCGGCCACCUGGCUGGAUACUGACGCUGAGACGCGAAAGCGUGGGGAGCAAACAGG
rnacentral:rRNA from 1 species